UACGUAGGUGGCAAGCGUUAUCCGGAAUUAUUGGACGUAAAGAGCGCGCAGGUGGUUGAUUAAGUCUGAUGUGAAAGCCCACGGCUUAACCGUGGAGGGUCAUUGGAAACUGGUCGACUUGAGUGCAGAAGAGGGAAGUGGAAUUCCAUGUGUAGCGGUGAAGUGCGUAGAGGUAUGGAGGAACACCAGUGGCGAAGGCGGCUUCCUGGUCUGUAACUGACACUGAGGCGCGAAAGCGUGGGGAGCAAACAGGAUUAGAUACCCCCGUA
rnacentral:rRNA from 1 species